rnacentral:SRP_RNA from 1 species
GGAGAUCGGCCCUGGGCGGCUGACUUGCGAACUCGGUCAGGUCCGGAAGGAAGCAGCCGUAGUAAGAUCGUGUCGGGUCAGGUGUCCGGUCUUCCAC